rnacentral:rRNA from 1 species
UACGAAGGGUGCAAACGUUGCUCGGAAUCAUUGGGCGUAAAGCGCACGUAGGCGGCCUCAAAAGUCGGAUGUGAAAUCCCGUGGCUCAACCAUGGACGUGCAUUCGAAACUGCGAGGCUUGAGUAUGGAAGAGGGUCGCGGAAUUCCCGGUGUAGAGGUGAAAUUCGUAGAUAUCGGGAGGAACACCGAUGGCGAAGGCAAUCCCCUGGGCCUGUACUGACGCUCAUGCACGAAAGCGUGGGGAGCAAACAGG